ensembl:lncRNA
GGAGGGCACCGAGACAGUGGAAAGUUGAAGUCAUAAUAACGGUGGGAUUUUCUGCGCUCUUUAAGCUUUUGGCCAAAAGAGAGGGACCAACGGAGAGUGGCUACACUUAUGCAAUGGAAAGAAGACGAGGGAAAGCUGGACCGAACGGAAGGAAAGAGGAGAGCUUUAUUUCAAGGAAACUGCUGCAAACCGGCGCUGAGGGAAAACCUGCCACUUUGAAAUAAGGUGAGAGCAUUUCUUUGGACAUGAUGUCACAGGAGAUGAGUCCCGCCGCUGGACUGCUGCCGCUGGACAAUCAUUCUCUCCCACCUGGACCACAGAGGGGCGGCGACAGAACCAGAGCAGUGGGCCGGGCCUGUGGUGCUACUCUGAGAAGAAGAAACCCGGCGCCUGGAAACAAAUGUUACGGCACGUGAUGCUUUGUUGUGUUCUGCUGCCGUGGCAACAGCGAAGAUCACAAGGGGGGCGCCCCCACUCUGAAAUUCCUUCCCCCUCCCUGGAAAAGUGUGGAAUAAAAAACACGCACAGCAGUUCCACACUGAUACGUGCGUGAAUGUACGUGUGGCAGCACG